rnacentral:lncRNA from 1 species
AUUGUCAGCACAUGAAAGGUGCCUCAGGGAGAGUGCAGUGACUGACAAGUGGUGACUGUGAGAUGCACAGGGAACAGAUGGAGCAGCUGGUGCGGUGCAUGAAAGGUCAAGUGCUGGGACUGAAGGUGUCCUGUUGCAGACAGGCCAGUGUCUCAGUGUGACCAUGAGAUUCAGCAGUCAGCCUUGCCCAGGUGUCCUCUCCAGUCUCCAGUGGACCUGGAAGUUGGAGGCAGAAGUGGGGGUGCCAGGAUCCACAUGUGUUACUGUGUGGUCCUGAGUGGAUUUGCCAUAACAAGUACAUUACUUAUGUCUGGUUUAUCAUACGAUGCUGGUCUUUAUAACUAAUCAUUAACCUUCUACACUAUUUUCCAUAAGCUUUACCCAUGGAUGAAAGAUUUUUUAACUUUUCCUCACAUGAUAGAUCUAGACUUUGAAAUAUUGAACUAAGGGGAAAAAACCUGGAAAGUAUGUUGAGAAGUACGCACAAUUGCUGCCCUGCCUAACUCUUCAGGUGACAAGUAGCUUUCUAAAGCUUGGAACUGUCAAAGGACUUCUGAGUAUGCUUCCAGCCACAAGUCAGUGCUGACAUCUUAACCAGUGUGUGGAGGAGGAGAGCAUUGGUUUCCACACUGAGGCAGCUCUGUGGUGGUUGUUCCUCUCAGGUACCCUCUACUGGUAAACUUGAACUAUACUGACAGACCAUAGCACAGCUAUGUCCCCAUUGUGCUGGAGUUUGUAUGAAUAGUUAGGAUGUUAAUACUACAUUUUUUUGCCUUCUUUCUCAUAGCUAAUGUCUAUGGAACUAGCUGUAUUACUUGUUUUUUGUUUUGUUUUUUAUUGUUAUAGCUCUGUUAAAUGGCCCCCCAAAUUUCCAGAUAGUAUCCCUAACUGCAACAGAAGAAUUUUAUGGAUCCUUAACUCACAAUAAGUUUGACUUUCAACAAUUUGUUCAGUGUGAAUAUUUUUAUGUCUUUUUCAUGCUUCCACUUACUUGAAACUCAGUUUAUUCUUAAAAACUGUCUAGUAGAACCAGCUUAUUAAGUGUUACUUUGGUAUGCAGUGAAAUGGUCAAUUAAGCAAUAUUGAAGAAAGAUACUUUGACUGUUUUGAAAUUUAUUAUGAAUCAUAAAACAAAAAUCAUUUCAUAGUAUUUCAGAGAUAAAGUCUCAACUGUUCUUAGUCCAGUAUGUCAGUAGAAUUUAUAGUGCAAAUAAAAUUUGCUUAAUUAAAAGAUUUUUUUUGAAAGUCCGUCUAUUAUCAGAAAGCACCAGGAAGAAGUUGUAUUAGUAGCUGCUGUUUUCAUUGGAAGAGUUUUUCAUUAAAUUUCUGUGUAAAAUCUAUUCUUAAUAAGAGAUUUUGUUUGUUUUCCAAACAUACUAUAUAGUAUGAUCUUUUGCAAUCGAAAUGGAUAAGGAAGAAACGAGUGAGGGCUGGUGAUGGUCUUAUAACCACUACAGAAACUCUGUGUUUAGUGCUGUAUCUUGUCUUCAUUCUCAUGUUGAUUAAUUACUAGAUGUUGUCAGUCAUGUCUCCAAUGAAAACAGGAGUGAUAGGGCUUUCUGAGUCAGUUGAUGAAUGAAUCAUACUAAUUUUUAGCAGUUUUUUCAUAUAAUUUUGUCUCCAUCUUUUCAGUAUGUUGACCAAGUUCUUCUAGGUGGUAAAGUUUGUGUUCCAGGUAUAUUGAGUUUAUGUAUUUAUCAUGUAUGCACUAUUGUUAGGUGAAAACAUACUUCAACUUGAUGGGCAGCUAUUAUUCAGUAUUCAUGUAUACUAAUGUUGAUAUAUAUUAGAUACUGUGUUUUACUAUACCUACAAGGUUAUACAAAAUUCUUUCCUUUUACUCAUGAGUUCCAUUUGUUUGGAUUUUUGGUUUGUUUAGAUUUUUUUUCUUCGUGUGUUAAAAAAUAUAGUUUAAUGCUUUUCCUGGUACCUUGCCCUUUGUUGGCAUAAUUGGAAUAUAAAUCGUUCAAAUCUCCACAAUUAAGAGUUUCAGAAAUAUGUGAUACUGGCCACUUGACUUAAUAAAGACUAGAUAUACAAAACAGGUAGAAAAAAAAUACCUAUUUCCUCACUAAAAACAAUUGAAUAUUUUUCUUAUUAUUAGCAAAUAUUAGUAAUAGCAUAGACUAUGAAUAAUUUCUAUAUGUUUUGGCAAGCACAUAGUGAGACAAUGCUUAUUACAGUAAGUACGCAUUUCAGUUAACUAACUGGGCACUGUAAUUCCAAUAGGGCUGUAAUGCAUGGAAACUCACUCUUCAGAUUCCUUAGAGCUGUAACCUGAGACAGUUGAAGGGCCCAUAGUUCAUUUGGGAGGUGUAGAUAGUAGUGAAGCUGAGGAAGCCUGGAAAGGAAAGGUGUACAGAGGGUGUGCUGUCAAGCUGGCUAACACUGCAGGAUGCUAGAACUGUAUUUCCUUUGUGCUACUCUGGAAAAACUAGAACACACAAUUCAGACAUACCUCAUGUGAAGAAUUGGGAUACAGAACUAGUUUGGGGCAGUGGUAGCUAUCCUGUACAGUGAACAGUUCUUGGCAACUUGUGAUCAAGAGCUGUAGCUGGACAUGAUGGCACAUGCUUGCAGUUCCAGCACCUGAGAGGUAGAAUCAGGAAGACCAGGAGUUUAGGGGGAACCUGGGCUACAUGGACUGUGUCC